UCGGGCUUUGUUCAAAGCCGGGAGAGAGCGGCUCACGUCCGUGUACCAUACUCUAGGCUGGAGGAAUGAAAGACAAAGGCCAUCAGCGACGAACUGAUUCUUUAAUGGCAUCUUCAAGCCCUCACAGAUUCUGAGAAGAAAGUCCUUUGGAAUGAAAUAAUCCAACCUCCCUUCCAUCUCAGGAGCACCCCGCCUGUCUAAGAGGAUUGCAUUCAGGAAUCAGGGAGAACUGAAUGUGAAUUCUGGCUCUGCUAGUCACUUGCAGGAUGACUUCAGUUGAGCGUCUUUGAAAAGCUCACAUGACGACACAAAGCCACAAAACCAACUGUGAAUGACAACCAUGACAACUAAAUACCUUGAGGACAUAUGCAGACCAAAAUAAGUUAGUCCUCAGCACACAGAAAGAAGAGCUAAAGAGACAGAAAUGAUCAAGAGAUAAAUUCCAGAAACGGUAAAUGUCACAAAGGUCAAUCAAUCAGUGCGUGUACUCUGGGCCGGAGGGAAGAUUUUAUGGUAUGGCCACGUGUGAGACCCAGCAGCAGUAAGACAAGUAAAUAAAGAAAGAGGCAAACAAACAAAUGAGCAAAAUAAAGUCCACUUUGGAGAAGCUACUUACUUUGUUAAAUUAAAUACACUACACAUUACACAUUUUUAAAAAGCAAAUUUGGUUGAGGGCUUAGCAUAGAAUUAACCUGCAGGCCUCGCUCUCCUGGAAGCAAGGGUUUGCUGCUGCGUUCAUGGGCUGGCUGAUCACCCUGUGGAGGAACAGAUUUUGAAAAUCAAAGUACCCAAACUCAGCACAAAGCUCCCAGAAAACUAUAUAAGUUUACCGAUGAGGAUCCUGCCUCACAAGAGAUUUUGAAGCUUAAAAAUGGAGGGUCCAUUACAAGUGAGAAAGGUAUUGAAAUGCCACCCUUGUCCUUUCCAUGAUUGCAACGAAAAUAAGGCACAGUUCUUCAGCAAGAAGUUCAAAAGCAAAGUGUUGCUGUAAUCCUACUAAAAUAGCAGGUGGUCAGGUGAUCAUCACCACAUGAAGGAAAGAAAAGAGAAAAAAAA